UACAGAGGGGGCAAGCGUUGUUCGGAAUUACUGGGCGUAAAGGGCGCGUAGGCGGCCUUCUAAGUCGAACGUGAAAUCCCUGGGCUCAACCCAGGAACUGCGUCCGAUACUGGAAGGCUUGAAUCCGGGAGAGGGAUGCGGAAUUCCAGGUGUAGCGGUGAAAUUCGUAGAUAUCGAGAGGAACACCGGUGGCGAAGGCGGCCUUCUGGACAGUGACUGACGCUGAGACGCGAAAGCGUGGGUAGCAAACAGG
rnacentral:rRNA from 1 species